CAAAGUGCUCAUAGUGCAGGUAGUUUUUGAAUUGGAUCUACUGUAAUGUGGGCACUUAUAGU
rnacentral:pre_miRNA from 1 species